GGAGUGAAGCAGAACCCGGUUACACAAGAGCCUGUGGCGCCAAGUGUCCGAGGUCGCUGACAUCUACCAAACUCCGAAAACAUGCUGCAACACUGUCAACUGUCUUGAAUAUGACUAAUACAGAAAUGGAUCAACUGGCAACCUUUCUGGGGCAUGACAUUCGAAUUCAUCGUGAGUUCUACAGACUUCCAGAGAAGACCCUACAACUUGCCAAGAUCAGCAAAGUUUUGAUGGCCUUAGAAAAUGGAAGAUUGGCAGAGUUUCAUGGCAAGAACUUGGAUGAAAUUCAGAUCGACCCGGAUGGUAUGUUUAUCUGUCCUUUUUUCUGUGUAUCAUUUGCAGCUUUAAAAACUGUACUGAACAUUUAAUACAGGCUAUAGAGACUUUAGCUGGUCAAAUCGCUUCCCAAAAGCUGUUUUCACUCUGUUCUAAACAUCACCUUGUCCGGGCUGCAGUCUCACCACUUGAAGUUUGGACAGGAAUGUUUCCUCCACACGCACAAAUGUCAAGCUCGCAACGAGCCAAGUUCCACAUCACAAUGAAUUAGACAUCUUCUCCAAUGCAGUUCAGAGGGCUAUGAGUUAAUUAUUAUGAAUGAUUGGUUAAAAUGUAUUUCAGAACUUGACCAGACUCCUAACCUGUCCACUCAUCUAAGAAAAGUUCUAACUGCAAAAUAACAACAAAAACUGCCCAGUUGUUAGAUGAUUCGCCAAAUCUGGCAAAACUGAUUUAAUCAAUCCUUCAAUUUUUGUGGGUAAAACAGAAAACAUAAACUCUGAUGAUAAACGAUGACAACAAUGGUGUGGAUGAGGAAAUCUCUAAUGCUAUUGGUAAGAUUUUUUGAAAAGUUACAAUACAAUAUAAGGUAUUUUAGAGCAAGUUGUUAGUUUUCCUUCACUUUAUGUAUAACCUGGCUUAAGCACACAGUUGACUUGUUUGUAACUAAAUGGAAAGAUCAAGGUUCUUAUAGAAUGUCCUAACUCUUAAGAGUAUGAAUAUAUUUCUAAAAUUGAUUUUUCUUUUAACAAAUCUUUAUUUUAUUUUCCUUAAGUACAACACAAGAUCUGAAUUGUUGUAUUCACAGUAAAUGUUAACAUAAAAAACAUGCUACUCUAAUUUUUGUAGAACCAUCAGAAGUGGAAACCCUUCCUGUUGGGAAUCUGGGGUCCUUGUGGGUUUUCUGGUGUGGUUCCAAUAUUCCUCCACCAGGUAGCGGCAGAGGCUGCUCCUCCUGGCGGGGAGUGCCGGUCUCAUACCCACCGGUAUCUCAUCUUCUCAUCAUCUCGGGAGUUCAAGAGGAGCUGACUGCCAGUUCUCCGACGCCUGAGUGUUUGCCAGCAAUGGUGUUUUCAGCCAGACGCUGAGUUUCCUCCGUGAGAGGUUUGUUUUCCCCGGUUUCCUGGAACCUACCCCCCUCGUGACGCCGUGGAUGCUACCCACUGGUUGCUCAAGCCCCUUCUUGGUGUUCAUCAGUUGGACCAAGCCGUUUCCUGAGGACCCCGACGCGCAGUCGAACCGCUCCUCUGUCUCCCACCGCCAGAACUUACCUGUCCGCCCUCCACUGCAGCCUCUUCCGCUCCUUCAGGACUAGCUCAUCCGAGCUAACUGUUGAGAAGACCCCUCUGUCAGAUCGGAACCCUACCCAGCAAAAAGUCCCUCCCGGAUCAGAACCGAAAAUACCACAAUGAGCCGCCUUCUCCCAGAGCCGCUUCCGGAGUACUGUGUUCCUUCAGACAAAUAUUACCUGAAUCCGCAAUAAAAUACCUUUACUGAUUAUUUGUCUCCUCUGUGGUGUUCUGCAUGUGGGCAAGAAGAUUAGACCCCAACAUGAGACUUCCUCAAAAUAGAAACGAAAUGACACCACCAUCAUCCAGGAAACGUAAACGACCACCAUCAUCAUCCCCAACAGAUGAUGAUCAAGAGGAGAUACCAUUGAAAGGCAGCACCACAAGACCUUGAUCAAAAAGUAAAUUUGUACAACCCUUGUGUGCAUAGACUCAGUCCACAACUCAUUGAGUAUUUGGAGUGGGCCUUAGACUCACUUUCUAGUUACCAUGUUGUGUGCUCUUCCUCGCCCCUCACACCUGCAACCUCCUAGUCAACAACCCGGUCUGUCACUCUCGGUCCUCCCUUUAAAUUCCUUUACUUCCCUGUUCGAUCCUGCUGACGUGUUUGUUUAUUUUUUGUUUGACUCUGGCUCCAUGUGUUUCCUGUGUUUUUAUGUGUCUUUUCAUCUUUAAAAAAUUUCACUGUCAUGAGUUCUAUCGCCUCAGAGCAGCAGCUUUUAACUAGUCCACAGUUCGUACACCAACCUUCAUUAACGUACAUACAGAAUCCUCCUCCCCGUGGUUUUCCUGACCGUUGGUCGCGGUCCACUCUGAAUAACUGAAGAUCGUUGAUCUGGAAGGCUGAGUCUGGCAUGGUGCUGUUAAGCCAGGUUUCCGUUAGGCAAAGAAAAGCACAGUUCUUCAUCUCUGCAGUAACUCUCAGCCUCAGAUGUAACAAAUCUACGUUGUUAUCCAGUGAGUGGACAUUGGCCAGAAACAGAGUCGGAAUAAGUGGCUUCCUAGCCUUCAGCUGGGCCAACGUACCCGCCCGCUUCCCUCUCUUCUGUUUCCGUUCCGGGCACGUUUCCUUUCGAACCGUUACUCCUUGUUCCCCGCUGUGCCAGACCAUUGUCCUGAGGAGCCGCUGUCUCCCAAGUGCGAAUUUCAGCCUCAGUGAUAAAUCAACAGCCGAACUGUCUUCAAUUGCCAUCAGUUCGGCCGAGCUGCCCUUACAAAAAAAUCACGUGGUUCACACAAAUUUUUACAUGUGAAUGAUGUGUGAAAGAUGUGAAUCACAUGUGAAAGCACAUGUAUUUGUGUGAUUUUGGAACGUUUCGUGGUAAAAUCACAUGUGACUCACAUGUGAAUUACACAUUUCCACAUGUGAUUCACACAUUUCCACAUGUUUAAAUAUGUGAUAUACAUAUAUACAAUUAUAAAAUAAUGGCACCACCUUUUUUCUUUUAGCAUGAAAUGUCCAGUUGUUCUGAUGUGUUGCCCCAUUCAUUCCUCAUCUGAGCUUCACUGGACCACUGGCCUUGAACGAAAUGUAAAAAUUAAUAAAACAAAGCUCUUAUGAUCUUGACA